AUUGAACGCUAGCGGGAUGCUUUACACAUGCAAGUCGAACGAGUGGCGGACGGGUGAGCGAUAUAUCGGAACGUGCCCAGUAUCGGGGUAUAACUACUAUAACGAUUGGCUACUACCGCAUACUAUUGGAUCGGCUGAUAUGGGAUUAGCUAGUUGGUGGGGUAAAGGCUCACCAAGGGAACGAUCCGUAGCUGGUUUGAGAGGACGACCAGCCACACUGGGACUGAGACACGGCCCAGACUCCUACGGGAGGCAGCAGUGGGGAAUUUUGGACAAUGGGGGAAACCCUGAUCCAGCCAUCCCGCGUGUAUGAGAAGGCCUUCGGGUUGUAAAGUACUUUUGGCAGAGAAGCGGUAUCUGCAGAAUAAGCACCGGCUAACUACGUGCCAGCAGCCGCGGUAAUAC
rnacentral:rRNA from 1 species